rnacentral:lncRNA from 1 species
UCACGCAAAGCCCUCCUCAUGCCCUACUUUAAUGCACCAAAUGAGUGGAUAAGGAUGAUUGGUUGGCAAUUCAAAUUCAAAACAAAGUUUAAAUUUGAAUGAGCAACCAAUCUUAGCACCUUGACCUUAUCCUCUUUUAACGUCCCAUUUAUUACACGAGAAAAUAUUUCUCAUGAAAUCACUCACACACAAAUAAUGUCACACCCUCCUCUUCUCACGUCCUUAGUAGAUAGGAAUAAAUUGGUUUCCAUUUGAAUUCAAAAUUUGAUUUGAAUUCAAAUGUGCAAUUACUCAUCUUUAUCCUCUCACGUGGAUAAGACAUUUGACAUUGUUUUAAAAGGAGGAGAAGAGUGGGGCAUGUGCAAGAAAAAUUUUGGAUAGAAAAUUUGGGCGUGAGGAAUCCUUGUGUGCCAGGUGAAGGUCUAUAUCCUUCCGAGAGAAAAAGAAAAAAAAGAAAGAAAAAGUGUGCGCAGGGUUUCAGUGAGUUCUUCAGGGUUUCAGCCUGGAGUUCGAGAAGUG